UUGUGGAGGAGGACGCCGAAGGUGGGGCUGAUGACUGGGGUGAAGUCGUAACAAGGUAGCCGUACCGGAAGGUGCGGCUGGAUCACCUCCUAACAGGGAGACAAAUAACUGAUCGUGAUGCCUGAGUAUUUUUUAUUCUUAGGUCAUGAUCCUGUCACCUUAGGUCGAUCGGUACCUCAAAUUGAAAGCAAGAACAAUGAGAAAUCAUUUUUCAAAAGCUAUUAAUUUUCAGUUCCUAAACUUUGUCUAGGUCACACCCAACAAGGGUACUCCUAGCCAUUAGCUCAGGUGGUUAGAGCGCACCCCUGAUAAGGGUGAGGUCCCUGGUUCAAGUCCAGGAUGGCCCAUUCGAUGUUGGGGGUAUAGCUCAGUUGGUAGAGCGCCUGCUUUGCAAGCAGGAUGUCAGCGGUUCGAGUCCGCUUACCUCCACUGAUCGACCUCCUGAUAACGAUACUCGAAGGAGAUUGACUUGUUUACGUGACUUAGAAAAGUUGUACAGCUGAAGGAACCUAGCUUCUUAUCAUUCCAAAUCUAAAAAUUAGAAUAGGUUGAUAUGACGCUGGGCUCACUGCAAAUUGUUAUUUGCAGAGAUGUUCAGUAGAACCUUGAAAACUGCAUAGUGAGUCUGGAAAGAAUAAAGCAUCUCAUGGAUGCAUUAUUCUUCCAAGUUAAAUUUUUGACUGUGGAAGAAUAAUGAGUAAUUCUUGAGUCAAGAGCAAGAUAAUAAUUAAGGUUUUAGUACCUUAAUUAUUUAAAUGGUCAAGCUACAA
rnacentral:misc_RNA from 1 species